rnacentral:rRNA from 1 species
GACGAACGCUGGCGGCGUGCCUAAUACAUGCAAGUAGAACGCUGAAGGAGGAGCUUGCUUCUCUGGAUGAGUUGCGAACGGGUGAGUAACGCGUAGGUAACCUGCCUGGUAGCGGGGGAUAACUAUUGGAAACGAUAGCUAAUACCGCAUAAGAGUAGAUGUUGCAUGACAUUUGCUUAAAAGGUGCAAUUGCAUCACUACCAGAUGGACCUGCGUUGUAUUAGCUAGUUGGUGGGGUAACGGCUCACCAAGGCGACGAUACAUAGCCGACCUGAGAGGGUGAUCGGCCACACUGGGACUGAGACACGGCCCAGACUCCUACGGGAGGCAGCAGUAGGGAAUCUUCGGCAAUGGACGGAAGUCUGACCGAGCAACGCCGCGUGAGUGAAGAAGGUUUUCGGAUCGUAAAGCUCUGUUGUAAGAGAAGAACAAGUGUGAGGGUGGAAAGUUCACACUGUGACGGUAUCUUACCAGAAAGGGACGGCUAACUACGUG